rnacentral:rRNA from 1 species
AGUGAACGCUGGCGGUAGGCCUAACACAUGCAAGUCGAACGGCAGCACAGGAGAGCUUGCUCUCUGGGUGGCGAGUGGCGGACGGGUGAGGAAUACAUCGGAAUCUACUCUGUCGUGGGGGAUAACGUAGGGAAACUUACGCUAAUACCGCAUACGACCUACGGGUGAAAGCAGGGGACCUUCGGGCCUUGCGCGAUUGACUGAGCCGAUGUCGGAUUAGCUAGUUGGCGGGGUAAAGGCCCACCAAGGCGACGAUCCGUAGCUGGUCUGAGAGGAUGAGCAGCCACACUGGAACUGAGACACGGUCCAGACUCAUACGGGAGGCAGCAGUGGGGAAUAUUGGACAAUGGGCGCAAGCCUGAUCCAGCCAUACCGCGUGGGUGAAGAAGGCCUUCGGGUUGUAAAGCCCUUUUGUUGGGAAAGAAAUCCAGCUGGCUAAUACCCGGUUGGGAUGACGGUACCCAAAGAAUAAGCACCGGCUAACUUCGUGCCAGCCGCCGCCGUAA